UACGUAGGUGGCGAGCGUUGUCCGGAUUUAUUGGGUUUAAAGAGUGCUUAGGCGGCUUUGUAAGUCAGUGGUGAAAUACUCCAGCUUAACUGGAGGGGUGCCAUUGAUACUGCGGAGCUUGAGUACAGAUGAGGUAGGCGGAAUUGACGGUGUAGCGGUGAAAUGCAUAGAUAUCGUCAAGAACACCGAUAGCGAAGGCAGCUUACUGGGCUGUAACUGACGCUGAUGCACGAAAGUGUGGGGAUCAAACAGG
rnacentral:rRNA from 1 species